UUAAAGGAAUUGACGGGGACCCGCACAAGCAACGGAGCGUGUGGUUUAAUUCGUUGCUACACGAAGAACCUUACCUGGGUUUGACAUAUAAGUUGUAGGGAACUGAAAAGGGACGACCCUUCGGGGAGCUUAUACAGGUGUUGCAUGGCUGUCGUCAGCUCGUGUCGUGAGAUGUUCGGUUAAGUCCGCUAACGAGCGCAACCCUCGCCGUAUGUUACAAGUGUCAUACGGGACUGCCGGUAAAAGCCGGAGGAAGGUGAGGAUGAUGUCAAGUCAGCAUGACCUUUAUAUCCAGGGCUACACACACGCUACAAUGGUCUGUACAAUUGGUUGCCAAGCCGCGAGGCGGAGCCAAUCCGUAAAGCAGGCCUCAGUUCAGAUUGCAGUCUGCAACUCGACUGCAUGAAGCCGGAGUUGCUAGUAACCGCAGGUCAGCAAUACUGCGGUGAAUACGUUCCCGGGUCUU
rnacentral:rRNA from 1 species